rnacentral:rRNA from 2 species
GUAAUACGGAGGGUGCAAGCGUUAAUCGGAAUUACUGGGCGUAAAGCGCACGCAGGCGGUCUGUCAAGUCGGAUGUGAAAUCCCCGGGCUCAACCUGGGAACUGCAUUCGAAACUGGCAGGCUUGAGUCUUGUAGAGGGGGGUAGAAUUCCAGGUGUAGCGGUGAAAUGCGUAGAGAUCUGGAGGAAUACCGGUGGCGAAGGCGGCCCCCUGGACAAAGACUGACGCUCAGGUGCGAAAGCGUGGGGAGCAAACAGGAUUAGAUACCCUGGUAGUCCACGCCGUAAACGAUGUCUACUUGGAGGUUGUGCCCUUGAGGCGUGGCUUCCGGAGCUAACGCGUUAAGUAGACCGCCUGGGGAGUACGGCCGCAAGGUUAAAACUCAAAUGAAUUGACGGGGGCCCGCACAAGCGGUGGAGCAUGUGGUUUAAUUCGAUGCAACGCGAAGAACC